rnacentral:rRNA from 2 species
GUUUUAAGUACGUAUUAAUAAUGAUAAUAUGUAUAAAAGUCUUGACCAAUUACGUGCCAGCAGUCGCGGUAAUACGUAGGAGACGAGCAUUAUUCAUAUUAAAUAGGUUUAAAGGGUACCCAAACGGUCAAAAUACCUGAAAUAUAGGAGUACUUGACUAGAGUUAUAUGUAAGAAGACCGUACUUGAGGUGGAGAGAUUAUAUUUUAUGAUACCAAAAGGACUGAUAACGGCGAAGGCUGUCUUUUAUGUAAUAACUGACGUUGAAGGACGAAGGCAUAGAUAACUAACAGGAUUCGUUACCCUAGUAGUCUUUGCAGACAAUGAUGAAUGCCAUUAACUAGAUACUAAUUUUAGUUAUAUAAAUGAAAAUGAAAGCAUUUCACCUCAAGAGUAAUGUGGCAACGC